rnacentral:rRNA from 1 species
CUGGGUUUAGAACGUCGUGAGACAGUUCGGUCCCUAUCUGCCGUGGGCGUUGGAAGAUUGAGAGGGGUUGCUCCUAGUACGAGAGGACCGGAGUGAACGCACCACUGGUGUUCGGGUUGUCAUGCCAAUGGCAUUGCCCGGUAGCUAAGUGCGGAAAAGAUAAGCGCUGAAAGCAUCUAAGCGCGAAACUUGCCUCAAGAUGAGUCUUCCCUUGGACUUUGAGUCCACUGAAGGAACGUUUAAGACUAAGACGUUGAUAGGCUGGGUGUGUAAGUGCAGCGGUGCAUUGAGCUAACCAGUACUAAUGAUCCGUGAGGCUUAACCUUACAACACCAAAGGUGUUUUAG